AGAGUUUGAUCAUGGCUCAGAUUGAACGCUGGCGGCAGGCUUAACACAUGCAAGUCGAGCGGGGGAAGGUAGCUUGCUACUGGACCUAGCGGCGGACGGGUGAGUAAUGCUUAGGAAUCUGCCUAUUAGUGGGGGACAACAUCUCGAAAGGGAUGCUAAUACCGCAUACGUCCUACGGGAGAAAGCAGGGGAUCUUCGGACCUUGCGCUAAUAGAUGAGCCUAAGUCGGAUUAGCUAGUUGGUGGGGUAAAGGCCUACCAAGGCGACGAUCUGUAGCGGGUCUGAGAGGAUGAUCCGCCACACUGGGACUGAGACACGGCCCAGACUCCUACGGGAGGCAGCAGUGGGGAAUAUUGGACAAUGGGGGGAACCCUGAUCCAGCCAUGCCGCGUGUGUGAAGAAGGCCUUAUGGUUGUAAAGCACUUUAAGCGAGGAGGAGGCUACUUUAGUUAAUACCUAGAGAUAGUGGACGUUACUCGCAGAAUAAGCACCGGCUAACUCUGUGCCAGCAGCCGCGGUAAUACAGAGGGUGCGAGCGUUAAUCGGAUUUACUGGGCGUAAAGCGUGCGUAGGCGGCUUAUUAAGUCGGAUGUGAAAUCCCCGAGCUUAACUUGGGAAUUGCAUUCGAUACUGGUGAGCUAGAGUAUGGGAGAGGAUGGUAGAAUUCCAGGUGUAGCGGUGAAAUGCGUAGAGAUCUGGAGGAAUACCGAUGGCGAAGGCAGCCAUCUGGCCUAAUACUGACGCUGAGGUACGAAAGCAUGGGGAGCAAACAGGAUUAGAUACCCUGGUAGUCCAUGCCGUAAACGAUGUCUACUAGCCGUUGGGGCCUUUGAGGCUUUAGUGGCGCAGCUAACGCGAUAAGUAGACCGCCUGGGGAGUACGGUCGCAAGACUAAAACUCAAAUGAAUUGACGGGGGCCCGCACAAGCGGUGGAGCAUGUGGUUUAAUUCGAUGCAACGCGAAGAACCUUACCUGGCCUUGACAUACUAGAAACUUUCCAGAGAUGGAUUGAUGCCUUCGGGAAUCUAGAUACAGGUGCUGCAUGGCUGUCGUCAGCUCGUGUCGUGAGAUGUUGGGUUAAGUCCCGCAACGAGCGCAACCCUUUUCCUUACUUGCCAGCAUUUCGGAUGGGAACUUUAAGGAUACUGCCAGUGACAAACUGGAGGAAGGCGGGGACGACGUCAAGUCAUCAUGGCCCUUACGGCCAGGGCUACACACGUGCUACAAUGGUCGGUACAAAGGGUUGCUACACAGCGAUGUGAUGCUAAUCUCAAAAAGCCGAUCGUAGUCCGGAUUGGAGUCUGCAACUCGACACCAUGAAGUCGGAAUCGCUAGUAAUCGCGGAUCAGAAUGCCGCGGUGAAUACGUUCCCGGGCCUUGUACACACCGCCCGUCACACCAUGGGAGUUUGUUGCACCAGAAGUAGCUAGCCUAACUGCAAAGAGGGCGGUUACCACGGUGUGGCCGAUGACUGGGGUGAAGUCGUAACAAGGUA
rnacentral:rRNA from 1 species